rnacentral:rRNA from 1 species
CAUGYAGUCGAGCGAACUGAUUAGAAGCUUGCUUCUAUGACGUUAGCGGCGGMCGGGUGAGUAACACGUGGGCAACCUGCCUGUAAGACUGGGAUAACUUCGGGAAACCGAAGCUAAUACCGGAUAGGAUCUUCUCCUUCAUGGGAGAUGAUUGAAAGAUGGUUUCGGCUAUCACUUACAGAUGGGCCCGCGGUGCAUUAGCUAGUUGGUGAGGUAACGGCUCACCAAGGCAACGAUGCAUAGCCGACCUGAGAGGGUGAUCGGCCACACUGGGACUGAGACACGGCCCAGACUCCUACGGGAGGCAGCAGUAGGGAAUCUUCCGCAAUGGACGAAAGUCUGACGGAGCAACGCCGCGUGAGUGAUGAAGGCUUUCGGGUCGUAAAACUCUGUUGUUAGGGAAGAACAAGUACRAGAGUAACUGCUUGUACCUUGACGGUACCUAACCAGAAAGCCACGGCUAACUACGUGCCAGCAGCCGCGGUAAUACGUAGGUGGCAAGCGUUAUCCGGAAUUAUUGGGCGUAAAGCGCGCGCAGGCGGUUUCUUAAGUCUGAUGUGAAAGCCCACGGCUCAACCGUGGAGGGUCAUUGGAAACUGGGGAACUUGAGUGCAGAAGAGAAAAGCGGAAUUCCACGUGUAGCGGUGAAAUGCGUAGAGAUGUGGAGGAACACCAGUGGCGAAGGCGGCUUUUUGGUCUGUAACUGACGCUGAGGCGCGAAAGCGUGGGGAGCAAACAGGAUUAGAUACCCUG